CUCCAACCAUCCGCUUUAUAUGGUGCACCCUAUUAUAUACUCGCUCUAUAAGGAUCUUCCCUAUGGAAAUCCUGAAGAAUCCCGAGACUAAAGCACAUCACGCCAACAUCACGGGUCACCCUCGCUGGACAUACGCGAGAGAGACAGGACUCGCAGAGGAAAACGCAACGCCGAUUGUCAAAUCGCGAUAGACAACAACUCCGGAUUGACCUCGCGGACGAGCAAACCCUCGUCAUAAACCUGACCGGACGAACGCGUCUCGUACGCUCGACGAUCGCAUGGCAAUCGGUGUCUCGGAGUCUCGGGUGCAGCAUAAACGAAUGUAAACUGCGCCGAGACGCUCGACGGUCCGGCGACCCUUUGUCUACCUUCGCUCCUUACGACUCAUUGUCCGGAUGCCCGAAGGGAAAGAGAGAGAGAGAAACAGCGAGCGAUCUCGCGCACUGCAUCUCACAUCUCACCGCGGAUUUGUUUGUUUAGCGUUCUCUCGCGACUCCGAGAAACCCUCCGUGCCAAACUUCCUUCCUUCCUUCCUUUCUUCCUUUCUUCGAGAGUCCCGUCCGGUACUCUUAUCGCGCUUACACGACGUCGUACGCGAUAUCAAGAUUGCGGGCAACAAAAACUCGAGGAUAGUGUCGAUGAAUUUCGACGCAUUUUUUUUUUCACUGCAGUUUUCUUUUCUUCCAGAUUCUAGACGAAACACACACGAUAACGAAAGGCACGACGCGGUGAGCCGCAUCAGCUGCGGAGCGCAGCGGACCACAGCGGACUCACGUUCGCAUACAGACAGCUGCGCACGAACGCACGUUCGUCGCCCGCGGCUGAUUUGACGCAGUACCGUAGCAUCCGCGAUCUUCUCGAUUCGGAGAUUCUCGUGACGGAACAAAAAAGGAUCUUGAAUUAUUUUUAAUUUUCGGAUUAUGAAAACUGUCAAAAAUUUGAUUACAAUCAUGUUGACAAGAGCGAGAUAGACGUCCGUUUUAACAGGAAAAUACCGAAUGCAUAUUUCGACAGAGUAUUAACAGCGAAUAAUUAUACACGCGAGAAACUUUAUAAUUUCUAGUCUUUAAAGAAAAAUAUAUAAAUGUAAAGAGAUGAAAGAAAGAGAUGAAAGAAUUUUAUCUGGAAUAGUGCCGUGUACGGUCCUGAAGAUUAGUCGCGAUGCCGUGGCGUCGAUUGGUGCGAGAAGGACAGUUGCUGUCAAAGAGUGCGAGGCUGAAUCGCGGAGGAGAGCGUGGGAGAGAUAUAGACAACACACGCCGUGAACGGCAUAAAGAAAUAACACGCGUGUUACCCGGCCGUGCAGACCCAUGAAUACUCUACUGCGCAGUCGUCCUGAAAGUGUCACGUACUUUGACAAACAAUGAGAAGCUGUGAGGACCCAUCGUUUAUCUAUGACAGAACCA